rnacentral:lncRNA from 1 species
UUCAAAUGAUAUGUUGAUAAGGUUUUCUACAAAAUGUGUUUUCUUUUAACACAUCAGAUUCUUCGAUCAGAUGAUUAAAUGUUAGCAGUUUUGUCCUUGAGUCUCUCAGGUUAGAUUCUUUUCCUACUUACAUUUUUAUUUUUUUGUAUUUUAUUCUGUUUUAAAAAGUUUUAAAAUUUUUAAUUAAUAAAUAUAUUGUUUUCAAGUUUUUUUAAUUCAUCUUUUUAAUUAAUAACUCUUUUAUUAAAUAAAAUAAAAAUAUGUAAUUAUAUAAAAAAUUAUAUUAUAUACAUAUCAUUAUGUUAAAAUAUUUUUAAUUAAUAACUCCUUUAUUUAUAUAUAUAAUAAAAAUUAAUUUUGAUUUUCUAAUAUUAGAAUUUAUCAUACCCACAAUGUAGAUGAAAAAAAUAAUGAUAUUUGAAAUAAUCAUUUAAUUUUAUAAUAGUAGAAAUCAUCACUCUCAUAAUGUAGAUGGAGAAAAUAAAUAUUUAAUAUAUAAAAAUUAUAUAUAAAGAAAAAAAUAUCAAACAAAUUAGUUUAAAAUAAAAUAUAUUUAACAUAAUGAUAAAUAUAAAAAAAUAUAUAAUUUUAUUAUAUAAUUACAUAUUUAGUAAUUUAUUUAUAUAAUAAAAAAUUAAUUAAAAAUAUUUUUUAACAUAAUGAUAUAUAUAAAAUAUAUAUUUAUUAUAUAACUACAAAUUUAUUAUUUUAUUUAUAUAAAUAAAAGAGUUAUUAAUUAAAAAUAUGAAUUAAAAAAGUUGAAAAAAUAUAUUUAUUAAUUAAAAACAUUAGAUAAAAAUUUAAAAUUAAAAAAAAGUAUAAAACAACAUGAAAUAAAAAUACAAAUGUGAGUAGAAAAAAUAAAAUUAUUAACAUUUAAUCAUCUACCAAAAGAGGUAAUAUAUAUAUUUUUUUAAAAAAUACAUUUUGUAGAGAUCGUUUUCUAUUUCUCUUAAAAAUCGAUUCAUUUCUCUAAAUUUUAGGGGAAAAAAACGACUUAAAUCCAUAAUUAUUUUUUAGAAACGGCCAUUUUAUCUAGUUUACCCAAAAUUUAACCUCAUAACAAACCAAACCUCUUAUAAUGUCAUAUUUCUAGCCUAAGAUAUCUCACCGGGAUGUCCACAAUCAUGAUAAACUGAAAGAGAAAAAGGUGAUGAGGUGAUGUGCGUGGCAUGAAGGAGGUAACCUAUGUUUAGCGUGUCGCACAUUCAAGAGCCUGCACUAUACUGGACGCAAUGCUUCCAAUGAAUCAAUAUCAGGACCUUUUGCCUACACCUUUUUUCUUUAGGUUAAAAAUUAGCAUCAAUGGAUUUGGUUUGUGGAAUGCAAUAUUAAGGUUAAUAAAGUUAUAUUCUAAAAUGAGAUUAUAGUAUUUAUAUUGGUAACAUUCCAGCAAUCUCAUUAUUUCACGUUACAAUAUUAAGAUGUCGUAAUAUAGGAUAUAAUCUCGUUACAGUCCAUUUUUUAGAUUAUCUUAAAUUAUGGAUGUAAUAUCAAAAUUUGAAUCAAUUUAUCAUUUGUUUUUAUAAUCAAUAGAGUUUUUUUCUUAAAUAAAAUUUGACUAGUUAAAAAAAAUAAAUAUAUAUAUUUUUCUUAAUAAUAAACCAGU